rnacentral:rRNA from 1 species
CAGUCGCCGCGGUAAUACGUGGGUGGCAAGCGUUGUCCGGAAUUAUUGGGCGUAAAGGGCUCGCAGGCGGUUUCUUAAGUCUGAUGUGAAAGCCCCCGGCUCAACCGGGGAGGGUCAUUGGAAACUGGGAAACUUGAGUGCAGAAGAGGAGAGUGGAAUUCCACGUGUAGCGGUGAAAUGCGUAGAGAUGUGGAGGAACACCAGUGGCGAAGGCGACUCUCUGGUCUGUAACUGACGCUGAGGAGCGAAAGCGUGGGGGGCGAACAGGAUUAGAUACCCCGGUAGUCCCUGUCUCUUAUAC